GACUACAAGGGUAUCUAAGCCCGUUCGCUCCCCUAGCUUUCGUGCCUCAGCGUCAGAAAAGACCCAGUGAGCCGCCUUCGCCACAGGUGUUCCUGAUGAUAUCAACGCAUUUCACCGCUCCACCAUCAGUUCCGCUCACCCCUGUCUCCCUCAAGCUUUGCGGUUUGAAGCGCAAUUCCACGGUUGGGCCGUGGGAUUUCACACCUCACCUGCGAAGCCGCCUACGCACUCUUUAAGCCCAGUAAUUCCGAAUAACGUUUGUCCGGUACGUAUUACCGCGGCUGCUGGCACGUACUUAGCCCGGACUUCCUCUGCGGUUAGGUCAAUGAAUGGGGAUAACCCCAAACAAUUUCCACCCCACUGACAGCGGUUUACAACCCGAAGGCCUUCAUCCCGCACGCGGCAUCGCUCCGUCAGGCUUUCGCCCAUUGCGGAAGAUUCUCGACUGCAGCCCCCCGUAGG
rnacentral:rRNA from 1 species